rnacentral:tRNA from 1 species
GUCCCUGUCGUCUAGACCGGCCCAGGACACCGCCUUUUCAGGGCGAGAACACAAGUUCGAAUCUUGUCAGGGACG